rnacentral:tRNA from 1 species
CACUGUGUAGCUUAGUGGUAGAGCACUUGCCUUACUAGCAUGUGCAAGGCCCUGGGUUCAACCCCCAGCACUGAAA